UACGUAGGGUGCGAGCGUUAAUCGGAAUUACUGGGCGUAAAGCGUGCGCAGGCGGCUUCGCAAGUCAGACGUGAAAUCCCCGGGCUUAACCUGGGAAUGGCGUUUGAAACUACGGAGCUGGAGUGUGGCAGAGGGAGGUAGAAUUCCACGUGUAGCGGUGAAAUGCGUAGAUAUGUGGAGGAAUACCGAUGGCGAAGGCAGCCCCCUGGGAUAACACUGACGCUCAUGCACGAAAGCGUGGGGAGCAAACAGG
rnacentral:rRNA from 1 species